UUCAGCUGUUGAGUUGUUGUUGUUGUUUGAGUUGUCAAUGUAAACAACUUAAAAGCUUGAAUUUAUCACAGAUAAAUAAUAAACACAUGAUGCAGAAGUUUGAAUAAUAAUUACAUGUUUUUAAGUUAAAAGAUACUACGACAUUUUAUAUACGCUUUCUAAAUGGUGACAAAUCGCUUAAAAAUUAUCCGGCAUCAUCAAAUAUUGCACAAAAUGGCGUUACUGGUGAAUAGUAAAUGCCUAUUCCGGAUACUAGUAAUUUGAAACAAAUGUACUAACUUCGAUCACGCAAGCUGAAUCAAGAUUUUAAACGAAAGGCAAUGUCAAGGGGAAGAGGAGGUCGAACAGGAACUGCAAAUGGUGCAGGAUCAAAGCCUACCUCUAGAGCUGGUUCAAUACGGUCAGGAAUUACAGCAGUUUCUGAGUAUGAUGAUGAUGACGGAGAUGAUAGAGAGACAUUGGGAACUGAGAUGUCGGCAGUUAUGCCCAGGCAACAGUACAGGCCUCCUGCAAACUUUCACAGCCCAAACAUGGCUCGAUUUGAGGAAUACAUAGAAAAGACAGAAGUGCAGACAAUUUUCCGAAAGCUUCUGAACAUUCUGCUCAGCCGGCCUGAAUUGCCGUACAACCCCUAUCCAGGCUUCUGUGGCAGAAUCAGAAUGUACCAAGAAAGGUUUCACCUCGAAAAAGAAAAUAAAGAAACGAUACUGAGAUAUUUAAGAAAUGACCUGGAGAGUUGCUAUGUCCAGAAUCUGUACACAGUUAAGCACUAUCGCAAUGUCUGGGGAACCAGCAGCAUCCUCAAGGUCAUUAAUCCCGAUUCCUUGGAGAAGUAUCGAUGGCUUGUGAACGAUGUAACACCUCGUCUAGAGGAUCUCCCCUCGUCUGAAGGCUACUCUAACCAGGUGAUGGUGGCGCUGAUCGGCCCCGCAGUGUUUGACGGCUCCUUCUACAAGUCUGUUCACUCCGUACAGAUUAGGCUCGAAUACCUUGUUGCGGGAUUUGACGUCACUCAGGGUAUUUCUAUCUUUGUAAACAGCCUGAUGCGGGAAAUUGACAGUAUGUUCAGCAGUCCACACCACUUCCUGUUAGGUGUGAGUGUACCAGCUCUCAGCCCACAGAAUCCAGAUGUCUGGAUCAAACACUACUGGGAACCUGAGAAAAUACAACAGGAAAAGGAGACAUUCCUUCAGAGGCUCAGUGAUGCUGUCAUUGGCAACCGCUACAUUUCUGUUGAGUGUAUAUUCCUGCUAGACCCCUCAUAUGUGUCAUAUGUAAAAGGUGAAAAGCAGUAUGGGUUCAAUUUCAUUGAAGUUAUCGAAGAAAUGAAGGAAGAAGGGCUUUCCAGUUUCUGUGAGUACCCAAUGGCCAGUCUUCACGAGGGUGUGUUCUUUGACCAGGCCCAGGCUGAGGCGUACAUGUCUGUCUUUCACCCGCAGAUGGCUGACUUUGAAACAGCAGAACCAUAUGAGGCAGGGGAAGGUGCCCCACCUCUUAGCCCAGGCAUUGGUUCCUUGAGCAAAGGCUCUGCAGCUGGAAACCUUAACGGUAACGGUCGCAGUAAUGGGAAUGAUAGUCAAUCCCGUGCGGCCUCAGCACGCUCCAUGAACCAGCGUUUCUCAGCCAAUCAGGCUCGAGAUGUGAACAAUGUGCAGAAACAUGUGCAUGACAGGCUUGACCAUGUGAACCCUCGCAGGGUCAUGAUUGACGGCUUUCGGUUCGGUGAUGAGAAAUCUACAGGACCGUUUGCCUGGCAGAUUACUACACCGAUGAAGGCUAACUAUCAGCGUAAGAUUGCUGGGUAUUGGCGAGAGGUGGAGCUCUUUGACAUUGUCUACAGUGUCAUCAUCCUUGUACUCAUGAACAGGGAAGCAUAUGGAGACGACAUUCUGGUGGAGGCGUGGCGGAUGCUGCAUGCGACCUCAGGCAGUCUCUACCUGCUCAUGGAGUACAAUAAGAGUCUGAGGGCUGUCAUACAGGCAAUUGCCACAACAUCCGACUAUGCGGUCAUUCAGCCAUUGUUGAAACAGUACCAGGACACUGUUGUGGAAUUCCUUCUUAACCCACUACUGGAGAGAAGUCAAGACCAUAGGACUGUGGGAUACUCAAUCCUGUCCAGGGUAGAGGACAUGAUCCGUGCACCAGAUAUGGAGUUUGGGUCUGCUACUCAUCUCCAGUUUACAUUGCGGGGCCUCAAGAACAUCAAUCUGUAUCUGCUACCUCUACUGAUGGAGCUUGCUGAGGACAGUCUACAGAACUGCCCGGUCAUUUUGAAACUGGUGAACACGUAUGAAGAGACAUUUCCUGAGGAAGAUCCCCGUCCCCCGACACGAUACAAGAAACGUGCAGUAGCAACAUCAUUCCAGCCCGGGGAACAUGAAAGUGUAGAAGAUGAGGUCAUCAAACACGGCGUUGAGGAUGAGCACAUCAAGAGACAUGAGACCUCAGUGAUAAACAUUAAGGCGUGUAUAGCCAAAGACAUGUCACCCCAGGCCAUGGUUAAAGAGAACGUCCUGAUGAAGUACAUGUUGGACAUUCAUGUGGAUGAGCUAUGGAAUGGAUACCUGAUAGAUCUUGCUGGGGGUGACGUCUUCCCUCCCAACCCCUUCCCACGCCUGAUAUCUGCACUCAGGCAGUGUGCCAUGAGAAUGGACCUGAUGUAUGACAAGUCCAGUGUGGUGACAGAGAAGAUGUUCAACCUGGAAGUGAAACUAGAGGACCAGGAGAACUACGUGUACCAUGUGCCGGGCAUUGACGCUCAUGGCCCCCUGACAGCACUGAUGAUGCUGGACACUGGUAUAUACGUGUCCCUUGCCCAGAUCUUCCAGAAGUUUCAACAGAAGACUUACAUCCAGAAGAAGGGCCCGUACCGUGUGGGUAUCUGCCUGGCCCUUUGCGGCCCCUGCACCUGGUAUGGACGGGUGCAGCCGUACCUGAAUGAGAUUGAGCUCCAGGAGCACUACUACAUCCAGGGGCCCUCUGGCUGCCAGGGGGAGGCCAUUCAGCUAUGCUCAGUCAUUGUUCACAAUCACCUGGUGGACCUGAUCAACAAUUCUGGUGUGCCAGUAAUGGGUGUGUACUUUGGCAAGCCUGCGCCUGACCACUGGACCAGUGAAGACAUCCUCAACAAGAAGAAGGGCUUUCUCACCCAAUUUGCGUAUAGCUGCUCUCAAAAACAACCCAUCUAUGUCAAGGCCUAUGUAUUGAUUGAGGGCUGGCGCUAUGUGACAAUGACCAAACAUUUUCUGCUCCAUUUUAUAGAGAGUGGCUCAAGGACACAUAUAUUCUACGAGGAUGAUCCUGCCUCAUUUUAUAAGUCAGUCUUCCUAAGCAAAGACAGGGCUGCGUUUCACUACCAGAACUGUGGGCCGCCGCAGGGUGGGAACCCUAUGAGUCCAGCCAAUGUGCGUGCAGUCAACCCUCACAUUGAGAAGCACAUGUACGAGUGUCAGCGCAGGUGUGACUGGCUCAACUUCUAUAGGCACCUGCUGCUGAGAGACCUCAUCAGCCAGGACCAGAGUCACCUGGCUGACUGCUGGAGGAUGUUACACAGCAUGGGCGGUCAGGUGGAGUACGUUGUAGGCAUGAUGGAGGUACUUCAGGAUCUGGUUCUCACCUGUCUACAGUUGGGCACAGAGUCCCAGGGCGGCGUGGCAGGUAGCACCGGCAGCCUCAGAGGCUCCCGCAGAAAGAACCCAGUGGAGCAGAAAGCCUUGACUAAGAUGGUGAUGGCCUUUUACCAGAAGUUGAUGUACGUGACAGAGGCUAGACUGACAAUGGCCGCCCGCUCCCUCACUGACUAUAUCGAGAACAAGCUCAAGUCCGCGCUUGAGUUUGACCCCGAGACUGGACAGCCAUAUCUGGCAUUGGAAGACAAGAUGAACAAAUUUCGAGAGCUGGCACAGGAAGCAGACCCCGCUCCUGACACUGUUUCCGGGUCAUCUGUGGAACGUCUUGAACAUACAACAAAGGCGUUAAUGUUCAAUAUCCAUCUUCCGUCUGGAGGAGAUGAAGAGUAUUCUGAGGAUCUACCAGGACGUGCUGAGCAGUGACGUGAGGAAUAUAUGUCAGGACGUUGACAUCAAGUACGUGCCCCGACGACUGGCCACACCCAAGAUGGCUGUCAAUGAGCAGAAGAACGGCAAACCAAGCGGAACUCUCAGGUUGUCCGAUCGGACUCACAGACAUCAAGCUGACCCAUACCUGUCCCAGCCAGACGUGUAUCACCAGACUUCAAGGCCAGGUCAGUGUGGCUUCCAGUAUCCUUGACAACCCCGACUACUACCGCACACGGCACAACCCCAUGAGACCCAUUCGGGAAUGAAAAUUAUCUGGGAGAGACAGGAAUGAAUGACAAUGCUGAUUGUGUGUUCAAUGAUCAAACUUAGCACAUACAGGCCUAACAUGAAAGCAAACCUGUAACUGUGUUGGUAAAACAGGGCUAGAAACUUACCAUUUGACAACUAGGCUAAACUAAAGAGACUGUUAUACUUUGUGUGUACAUGUAUAAUCUCAAGGUGUUUAUGUCUAAAUGCUCAAUGUGAAAAAGAAACUGUUCUCCUUGUUGUUAUAUGUUAUCAGGGCCAAGAAUAGUUGUGUGGAAUAUUUAGUCAAGAACAACUGCUUUUUACUUAAAUUAAUAUCAAUUAGUAUGUCAACAUGAUUAUAUACGGUUUAAAAAUA